CACAUGACUCUCGGCAACGGAUAUCUUGGCUCUCGCAUCGAUGAAGAACGUAGCAAAAUGCGAUACCUGGUGUGAAUUGCAGAAUCCCGUGAACCAUCGAGUUUUUGAACGCAAGUUGCGCCUAAGGCCUUUUGGCCAAGGGCACGUCUGCCUGGGCGUCACGC
rnacentral:rRNA from 5 species